rnacentral:rRNA from 1 species
AACGCUGGCGGCAGGCCUAACACAUGCAAGUCGAGCGGUAGCACAGAGAGCUUGCUCUCGGGUGACGAGCGGCGGACGGGUGAGUAAUGUCUGGGAAACUGCCUGAUGGAGGGGGAUAACUACUGGAAACGGUAGCUAAUACCGCAUAAUGUCGCAAGACCAAAGUGGGGGACCUUCGGGCCUCAUGCCAUCAGAUGUGCCCAGAUGGGAUUAGCUAGUAGGUGGGGUAACGGCUCACCUAGGCGACGAUCCCUAGCUGGUCUGAGAGGAUGACCAGCCACACUGGAACUGAGACACGGUCCAGACUCCUACGGGAGGCAGCAGUGGGGAAUAUUGCACAAUGGGCGCAAGCCUGAUGCAGCCAUGCCGCGUGUGUGAAGAAGGCCUUCGGGUUGUAAAGCACUUUCAGCGGGGAGGAAGGCGGUAAGGUUAAUAACCUCAUCGAUUGACGUUACCCGCAGAAGAAGCACCGGCUAACUCCGUGCCAGCAGCCGCGGUAAUACGGAGGGUGCAAGCGUUAAUCGGAAUUACUGGGCGUAAAGCGCACGCAGGCGGUCUGUCAAGUCGGAUGUGAAAUCCCCGGGCUCAACCUGGGAACUGCAUUCGAAACUGGCAGGCUAGAGUCUUGUAGAGGGGGGUAGAAUUCCAGGUGUAGCGGUGAAAUGCGUAGAGAUCUGGAGGAAUACCGGUGGCGAAGGCGGCCCCCUGGACAAAGACUGACGCUCAGGUGCGAAAGCGUGGGGAGCAAACAGGAUUAGAUACCCUGGUAGUCCACGCCGUAAACGAUGUCGAUUUGGAGGUUGUGCCCUUGAGGCGUGGCUUCCGGAGCUAACGCGUUAAAUCGACCGCCUGGGGAGUACGGCCGCAAGGUUAAAACUCAAAUGAAUUGACGGGGGCCCGCACAAGCGGUGGAGCAUGUGGUUUAAUUCGAUGCAACGCGAAGAACCUUACCUGGUCUUGACAUCCACAGAACUUUCCAGAGAUGGAUUGGUGCCUUCGGGAACUGUGAGACAGGUGCUGCAUGGCUGUCGUCAGCUCGUGUUGUGAAAUGUUGGGUUAAGUCCCGCAACGAGCGCAACCCUUAUCCUUUGUUGCCAGCGGUCCGGCCGGGAACUCAAAGGAGACUGCCAGUGAUAAACUGGAGGAAGGUGGGGAUGACGUCAAGUCAUCAUGGCCCUUACGACCAGGGCUACACACGUGCUACAAUGGCAUAUACAAAGAGAAGCGACCUCGCGAGAGCAAGCGGACCUCAUAAAGUAUGUCGUAGUCCGGAUUGGAGUCUGCAACUCGACUCCAUGAAGUCGGAAUCGCUAGUAAUCGUAGAUCAGAAUGCUACGGUGAAUACGUUCCCGGGCCUUGUACACACCGCCCGUCACACCAUGGGAGUGGGUUGCAAAAGAAGUAGGUAGCUUAACCUUCGGGAGGGCGCUUACCACUUUGUGAUUCAUGACUGGGGUGAAGUCGUAACAAGGUAACCGUAGGGGAACCUGCGGCUGGAUCA